rnacentral:sRNA from 1 species
GCUUGGAGUGAGGGGGUUGGAGAACAUUUUGUCGUGUGAGUUGGAGGUUGGAGGUUGGAGGUUGGAGAGCGGAGAUUGGAGAGCAAGAGCGCAGAGCAAGAGCUGGUGAGGGAUUAUGUAUGGAUGGAUGGGCUGUGCUGUGAAAUGGAUAUAUACAUAUCGAUGUAUACUGACUGACUAACUAAACGGUCUAUACUAGGAGUUGGAGUUGGAGUUGCAUCAGAUAACGUGGAGUGCAAGGAUAAGCUAACUUAGUUCGAUUGGGUAUUUAAUAUGGUUUGCACAGUAUGUGUAUGUAUAGGUAUAUGUACAGCUAUAUUUUUGUCUAUGUUGUUAUCGCAAGUAGAGGGAAAAGCCGAAAAAAUUGAUAAAGGGGAAAAAAGUAAAUAACGUGAAGAAGAAGAAGAAGAAGACGAGAGAAUAGAAGAUAGGAUUUGCCAAAGGUUUAAAAAUUGGCAAGAUAUAAAAGCUCGAAAACGAAAGGACCCCUGCAGGACUAGGAACCAUGGCCAGGACCAGAAAUAGAUACUAUUCUAUCAACAGACAUCAAUAGAAAAAAGGAAAACACGAAAAAAAGUCGUUGCAAGAUUUAGGAACAGAACGGAGUGGAGAGAAAACGGGAAAAGAUUUCCAUCAGGGACCGAUGGAAUGCUCCCACGCCGUCGCGACAUCAUUCGUC